rnacentral:rRNA from 1 species
GGUUGAUCCUGCCAGUAGUCAUAUGCUUGUCUCAAA